rnacentral:rRNA from 1 species
AUUGAACGCUGGCGGCAUGCCUUACACAUGCAAGUCGAACGGUAACGCGGGGCAACCUGGCGACGAGUGGCGAACGGGUGAGUAAUGCAUCGGAACGUGCCCAGUUGUGGGGGAUAACUGCUCGAAAGAGCAGCUAAUACCGCAUACGACCUGAGGGUGAAAGCGGGGGAUCGCAAGACCUCGCGCAAUUGGAGCGGCCGAUGUCGGAUUAGCUAGUUGGUGGGGUAAAGGCCCACCAAGGCGACGAUCCGUAGCUGGUCUGAGAGGACGACCAGCCACACUGGGACUGAGACACGGCCCAGACUCCUACGGGAGGCAGCAGUGGGGAAUUUUGGACAAUGGGCGCAAGCCUGAUCCAGCCAUGCCGCGUGCGGGAAGAAGGCCUUCGGGUUGUAAACCGCUUUUGUCUGGGAAGAAAUCUUCUGGGUUAAUACCUCGGGAGGAUGACGGUACCUGAAGAAUAAGCACCGGCUAACUACGUGCCAGCAGCCGCGGUAACAC